GGGUAUAUAGCUCAAAUGGUGGAACAUGUGCUUAGCAUGCACAAGGUUCUGGGUUCAAUACCCAGUACCUCCA
rnacentral:tRNA from 1 species